rnacentral:rRNA from 1 species
UACGUAGGGGGGCAAGCGUUGUCCGGAAUCAUUGGGCGUAAAGCGCGUGUAGGCGGACUGGAAGGUCUGGUGUGAAAGCCCGGGGCUCAACCCCGGAGGGUCACUGGAAACCGACAGUCUCGAGUCCGGAAGAGGAGAGUGGAAUUCCUGGUGUAGCGGUGGAAUGCGCAGAUAUCAGGAAGAACACCCGUGGCGAAGGCGGCUCUCUGGGACGGUACUGACGCUGAGACGCGAAAGCGUGGGGAGCGAACAGG